GGGCAUUUGGUCUAGUGGUAUGAUUCUUGCUUUGGGUGCAAGAGGGUCCCGAGUUCGAUUCCCGGAAUGCCCC
rnacentral:tRNA from 1 species